CGUCAAGUCAUCAUGCCCCUUAUGCCCAGGGCUGCAAACAUGCUACAAUGGCCGGUACAAAGGGCUGCGAAACCGCGAGGUUGAGCGAAUCCCGUAAAGCCGGUCUCAGUUCGGAUUGCAGGCUGCAACUCGCCUGCAUGAAGCCGGAGUUGCUAGUAACCGCAGGUCAGCAUACUGCGGUGAAUAUGUUCCCGGGCCUU
rnacentral:rRNA from 1 species